GUGCCAGCCGCCGCGGUAAUACGAAGGGGGCUAGCGUUGUUCGGAAUUACUGGGCGUAAAGGGCGCGUAGGCGGCCUGUUAAGUUAGGAGUGAAAGCCCCGGGCUCAACCUGGGAAUUGCUCUUAAUACUGGCAGGCUUGAGUUCCGGAGAGGAUGGUGGAUUUCCCAGUGUAGAGGAGAAAUUCGUAGACAUUGGGAAGAACACCGGUGGCGAAGGCGGCCAGCUGGACGGAAGCUGCCGCUGAGGCGCGAAAGCGUG
rnacentral:rRNA from 1 species